CACGUAGGGUGCGAGCGUUGUCCGGAAUUAUUGGGCGUAAAGAGCUCGUAGGCGGUGUGUCGCGUCGGCCGUGAAAACCUGCAGCUUAACUGUGGGCGUGCGGGCGAUACGGGCAGACUGGAGUACUGCAGGGGAGACUGGAAUUCCUGGUGUAGCGGUGAAAUGCGCAGAUAUCUGGGAGGAACACCGGGUGGCGAAGGCGACAUCCUGGACCGGUAUUGACGCUGAGGCGCGAAAGCCAGGGGAGCAAACGGG
rnacentral:rRNA from 1 species